UUCCCUGGCAGUCCUGUGGUUAGGAUUUGGCACUUUCACUGCCAUGGGCCUGGGUUCAAUCCCUGGUUGAGAAA
rfam:Ovis aries breed Texel chromosome 15, whole genome shotgun sequence.